rnacentral:lncRNA from 1 species
CACUUUCAACUGCUGACCUUGCACUAUUUAAAGAGGCGAACGACAAACUGGUUUUCUCAAUAGGAUCCUUUACUUCUGUAAGUGUGGCAUUGGAUAUUUCAAGUGCUUGGAAAGAGGUCUCUAAGGUAUCUUCGCCAGCCUCGAUAUAACGGAAAGAGGAGAGUUGACUAAUGAUAAAAUCUUCUUCACCCGAGACAAUGACGAGCUUGUCAUCGAUGACAAAC